rnacentral:rRNA from 1 species
GACGAACGCUGGCGGCGUGCUUAACACAUGCAAGUCGAACGAAAAUACCAAGCUUGCUUGGUUGAUUAGUGGCGAACGGGUGAGUAACACGUGAGUAACCUGCCCCUUACUUUCUGGAUAACUGCUCGAAAGGGUAGCUAAUACGGGAUAUUCUGGCCUUCCUGCAUGGGUUGGUUUGGAAAGGUUUUUUCUGGUGAGGGAUGGGCUCGCGGCCUAUCAGCUUGUUGGUGGGGUGAUGGCCUACCAAGGCUUUGACGGGUAGCCGGCCUGAGAGGGUGGACGGUCACACUGGGACUGAGAUACGGCCCAGACUCCUACGGGAGGCAGCAGUGGGGAAUAUUGCACAAUGGGCGCAAGCCUGAUGCAGCGACGCCGCGUGAGGGAUGAAGGCCUUCGGGUUGUAAACCUCUUUCGUCAGGGAACAAGGCACUGCUUUUGGUGGUGUUGAGGGUACCUGGAUAAGAAGCGCCGGCUAACUACGUGCCAGCAGCCGCGGUAAUACGUAGGGCGCAAGCGUUGUCCGGAAUUAUUGGGCGUAAAGAGCUCGUAGGCGGCUGGUCGCGUCUGUCGUGAAAACUUCCGGCUCAACCGGGGGCUUGCGGUGGGUACGGGCCGGCUAGAGUGCGGUAGGGGUAACUGGAACUCCUGGUGUAGCGGUGGAAUGCGCAGAUAUCAGGAAGAACACCGAUGGCGAAGGCAGGUUACUGGGCCGUUACUGACGCUUAGGAGCGAAAGCGUGGGGAGCGAACAGGAUUUAGAUACCCUGGUAGUCCAAGGGCGAAUUCCACAGUUGGAUAUCAAGCUUUAUCGAUACCGUUCGACCUCGAGGGGGGGGCCUGGUACCCAGUUUUUGUUCCCUUUUAGUGAGGGUUAAUUAAUUGGUUUGUUUGUGUUGUUGUUGUGGUUUUGUUGUGUGCGACCUGUGUUUGAUUGGUGUCGUGUGGGUUGGUUGU